rnacentral:rRNA from 1 species
AAUCCCUUAAAGCUACUCUCAGUUCGGAUUGUAGGCUGAAACUCGCCUACAUGAAGCUGGAGUUACUAGUAAUCGCAGAUCAGAAUGCUGCGGUGAAUGCGUUCCCGGGUCUUGUACACACCGCCCGUCACACCACGGGAGUUGGAGACGCCCGAAGCCGAUUAUCUAACCUUUUGGAAGAAGUCGUCGAAGGUGGAAUCAAUAACUGGGGUGAAGUCGUAACAAGGUAGCCGUAUCGGAAGGUGCGGCUGGAUCACCUCCUUUCUAAGGAGA